CAUUAUUGAAUAAAUAUUGAUAGGCUGUUGCUGGCUCUUUAAAAGAUGCAAUGUGCACGCUUGUCAUAUUUUAUCUUUCCACCUGUGCACCCCCUUUGUAGACCCUAGAGAAAAGCAAUUAUCUGGGUAGUCAGAUAGAUAGUAGGACUGCUGCGUGUGGCUUUAGGCCAGACCAGCUUUGCCUUAUGUCUCUGGGUGUUCUAUAUAUAUCAUUCACAUGCUCCUAUGGAUGUAAUAGAGUAUAGAAUUCAAAAGUUGUCUAUACAACUUUCAGCAACGGAUCUCUUGGCUCUCGCAUCGAUGAAGAACGCAGCGAAAUGCGAUAAGUAAUGUGAAUUGCAGAAUUCAGUGAAUCAUCGAAUCUUUGAACGCAUCUUGCGCUCCUUGGUAUUCCGAGGAGCAUGCCUGUUUGAGUGUCAUUAACUUCUCAACUACACUGACUUUGAAUUGGUGUGGCUUGGAUUUGGGGGUAUCUUUUUUUUGUUGGCUUUUGAAAGGGUCAGCUCCCCUGAAAUUGAUUAGCAGUGCCUUUUGGUUGGAACUGUCCACAAGUGUGAUAAUUAUCUGCACUUUAGAUGUCCAUAAUGGAAUGCUGCUUUCUAAUUUGUAACAAUGAUGAUUUUGGCCUCAAAUCAGGUAGGACUACCCGCUGAACUUAAGCAUAUCAAUAAGCCGGAG
rnacentral:rRNA from 1 species